AUGUGUGUGUAUGGGGGACCACUAGGGUAUAGGAAGAUGCAUGUGAAUGGAGGACCACUGGGGUAUAGGAAGAUGUGUGUGAAUGGAGGACCACUGGGGUAUAGGAAGAUGCAUGUGAAUGGAGGACCACUGGGGUAUAGGAAGAUGUGUGUGAAUGGAGGACCACUAGGGUAUAGGAAGAUACAUGUGCAUGGAGGACCACUGGGGUAUAGGAAGAUGUGUGUGAAUGGAGGACCACUAGGGUAUAGGAAGAUACAUGUGCAUGGAGGACCACUAGGGUAUAGGAAGAUGCGUGUGUAUGGAAGACCACUGGGGUAUAGGAAGAUGUGUGUGAAUGGAGGACCACUAGGGUAUAGGAAGAUACAUGUGCAUGGAGGACCACUAGGGUAUAGGAAGAUGUGUGUGCAUGGAGGACCACUAGGGUAUAGGAAGAUGCAUGUGAAUGGAGGACCACUGGGGUAUAGGAAGAUGUGUGUGUAUGGUGGACCACUGGGGUAUAGGAAGAUGUGUGUGAAUGGAGGACCACUAGGGUAUAGGAAGAUGCAUGUGUAUGGAGGACCACUAGGGUAUAGGAAGAUGCGUGUGAAUGGAGGACCACUAGGGUAUAGGAAGAUACAUGUGCAUGGAGGACCACUGGGGUAUAGGAAGAUGUGUGUGCAUGGAGGACCACUGGGGUAUAGGAAGAUGCGUGUGCAUGGAGGACCACUGGGGUAUAGGAAGAUGUGUGUGCAUGGAGGACCACUGGGGUAUAGGAAGAUGCAUGUGAAUGGAGGACCACUGGGGUAUAGGAAGAUGUGUGUGUAUGGAGGACCACUGGGGUAUAGGAAGAUGUGUGUGAAUGGAGAACCACUGGGGUAUAGGAAGACGUGUGUGAAUGGAGGACCACUGGGGUAUAGGAAGAUGCAUGUGAAUGGAGGACCACUGGAGUACAGGAAGAUGUGUGUGAAUGGAGGACCACUGGGGUAUAGGAAGACGUGUGUGAAUGGGGGUGGAGACCAUGGGAAGCUCAGAAGACUUUCAAAAGAAGGUCACCCUUGA
rnacentral:lncRNA from 1 species